rnacentral:rRNA from 1 species
GUGCCAGCCGCCGCGGUAAUACGUAGGUGGCAAGCGUUAUCCGGAAUUAUUGGGCGUAAAGCGCGCGCAGGCGGUUUCUUAAGUCUGAUGUGAAAGCCCCCGGCUCAACCUGGGAGGGUCAUUGGAAACUGGGAGACUUGAGUGCAGAAGAGGAAAGUGGAAUUCCAUGUGUAGCGGUGAAAUGCGUAGAG